UUGAACGCUGGCGGCAGGCCUAACACAUGCAAGUCGAGCGGAUGAAGGGAGCUUGCUCCUGGAUUCAGCGGCGGACGGGUGAGUAAUGCCUAGGAAUCUGCCUGGUAGUGGGGGAUAACGUCCGGAAACGGGCGCUCAUACCGCAUACGUCCUGAGGGAGAAAGUGGGGGAUCUUCGGACCUCACGCUAUCAGAUGAGCCUAGGUCGGAUUAGCUAGUUGGUGGGGUAAAGGCCUACCAAGGCGACGAUCCGUAACUGGUCUGAGAGGAUGAUCAGUCACACUGGAACUGAGACACGGUCCAGACUCCUACGGGAGGCAGCAGUGGGGAAUAUUGGACAAUGGGCGAAAGCCUGAUCCAGCCAUGCCGCGUGUGUGAAGAAGGUCUUCGGAUUGUAAAGCACUUUAAGUUGGGAGGAAGGGCAGUAAGUUAAUACCUUGCUGUUUUGACGUUACCAACAGAAUAAGCACCGGCUAACUUCGUG
rnacentral:rRNA from 1 species